rnacentral:rRNA from 1 species
GAUGAACGCUGGCGGCGUGCCUAAUACAUGCAAGUCGAGCGAACAGACGAGGAGCUUGCUCCUCUGACGUUAGCGGCGGACGGGUGAGUAACACGUGGAUAACCUACCUAUAAGACUGGGAUAACUUCGGGAAACCGGAGCUAAUACCGGAGAAUAUAUUGAACCGCAUGGUUCAAUAGUGAAAGACGGUUUUGCUGUCACUUAUAGAUGGAUCCGCGCCGCAUUAGCUAGUUGGUAAGGUAACGGCUUACCAAGGCAACGAUGCGUAGCCGACCUGAGAGGGUGAUCGGCCACCCUGGAACUGAGACACGGUCCAGACUCCUACGGGAGGCAGCAGUAGGGAAUCUUCCGCAAUGGGCGAGAGCCUGACGGAGCAACGCCGCGUGAGUGAUGAAGGUCUUCGGAUCGUAAAACUCUGUUAUUAGGGAAGAACAAAUGUGUAAGUAACUAUGCACGUCUUGACGGUACCUAAUCAGAAAGCCACGGCUAACUACGUG